rnacentral:rRNA from 1 species
UGCAGUCGAGCGGAACGAGUUAUCUGAACCUUCGGGGAACGAUAACGGCGUCGAGGGGGGACGGGUGAGUAAUGCCUAGGAAAUUGCCCUGAUGUGGGGGAUAACCAUUGGAAACGAUGGCUAAUACCGCAUGAUGCCUACGGGCAAAGAGGGGGACCUUCGGGCCUCUCGCGUCAGGAUAUGCCUAGGUGGGAUUAGCUAGUUGGUGAGGUAAGGGCUCACCAAGGCGACGAUCCCUAGCUGGUCUGAGAGGAUGAUCAGCCACACUGGAACUGAGACACGGUCCAGACUUCUACGGGAGGCAGCAGUGGGGAAUAUUGCACAAUGGGCGCAAGCCUAAUGCAGCCAUGCGGCGUGUGUAAGGAGGGCCUUCGGGUUGUAAAGCACUUUCGGUCGGGGAGGAAGGAGGGGAGGUUA